rnacentral:rRNA from 1 species
UACGUAGGGCGCAAGCGUUGUCCGGAAUUAUUGGGCGUAAAGAGCUCGUAGGCGGUUUGUCGCGUCUGCCGUGAAAGUCCGGGGCUCAACUCCGGAUCUGCGGUGGGUACGGGCAGACUAGAGUGAUGUAGGGGAGACUGGAAUUCCUGGUGUAGCGGUGAAAUGCGCAGAUAUCAGGAGGAACACCGGUGGCGAAGGCGGUUCUCUGGGCAUUACCUGACGCUGAGGAGCGAAAGUGUGGGGAGCGAACAGG